rnacentral:lncRNA from 1 species
GAUCCUCUCUCCUCCCCGAGUGGCUCACCGGCUUUACGUCGGUUGGUGGCCCCGUCUGGGACCGAACCGGGCACCGCCUUGUGAAAAAAAAAGAAUAGAAUAUACCCUGUUAAAUCAGACAUGAUACUUGCUUUUGUGGAGCUUAUGCUUUAGUGCAGAAACAGAAAGUCAAGCAAAAACUCAAACUAUGUAACUUUAAAUUGGAUAUGUGCUAAUGAAGGAAAAUGUGGCACUGUAAGAAAAAAUAAUAGGGAGUUAAAGGAUAAAUAGGAAUUUGCUGGAUGAAAUUUAUGAAGGGCUGAAGAUUUCAAACAAAAGAAACUGAUGCAGAAGGGUGCAGCUUUGGAGUCAAGAAUGAAGUUCUAGGAGAUAAGAGAGCAAGGAAAUGGUGGGAGAGGAGGUCAAAAAAUACUAGGCUUUAGAAUUUCACCUUAUGAAUUUUGGGAGAGAGGAGCACAGUUCAGCCCAUAACUAACACACGACGGAAUGAAGUUGAUAAUAGUGAGACCUUGUUGGUACAAGACUCUGUAACAUAACCUGCGCUUCUCAACAAAGAAUUGCUUUUCUGACUUCUGCACUCAAUAGCAAGACAAAUCUCUCCUCUGUCUUUUUCUUAUCAGACUACUCAACAUGAAGGCAAUAAGAAUGAAGACCUUUAUGUAUAAUAAUUGACUUCCACUUAAUAAAUAAGGUUACUUGGUACACUGGUCGACAAAACCUUGAAAUGUUGAUGUUUAAGGGCUGUUGAUUGCUGGCAACAAAGAAGUCCAACUGUGCUGGUACCCGAGAUAGCGUCUCCACAUUUUCUUCCAGGAUC